rnacentral:rRNA from 1 species
UACGUAGGGGCCCAGCGUUGUCCGGAUUCAUUGGGCGUAAAGCGCGCGCAGGCGGCCCGGUGUGCCGCCCGUGAAAUCCCCCGGCUCAACCGGGGGGGGUCGGGCGGAGACUGUCGGGCUGGAGGCGGGGUAGGGGGCAGCGGAAUUCCCGGUGUAGUGGUGGAAUGCGUAGAUAUCGGGAGGAACACCAGUGGCGAAGGCGGCUGCCUGGACCCGGCCUGACGCUGAGGCGCGAAAGCGUGGGGAGCGAUCCGG